rnacentral:rRNA from 1 species
GAUGAACGCUGGCGGCGUGCCUAAUACAUGCAAGUCGCGCGAAGCGGGGACGGGUGAGUAACACGUGGAUAACAUCCUAUAAGACUGAGAUAAAUUCGGGAAACCGGCGCUAAACCGGAUACUUAUCGAUGGAUCCGCGCUGCAUUAGCUAGUUGGUAAGGUAACGGCUUACCAAGGCAACGAUGAAUAGCCGACCUGAGCGGGUGAUCGGCCACACUGGACCUGAGACACGGUCCAGAAUCCGACGGGAGGCAGCAGUAGGGAAUCUCCCGCAAUGGGCGAAAGCCUGACGGAGCAACGCCGCGUGAGUGAUGAAGGUCUUCGGAGCGUAAAACGCUGGUAUUAGGGAAGCGGGACCUAAUCAGAAAGCCACGGCGAACUACGUGCCAGCCGCCGCGGUAAUUC